AUGGAAUACAGAAAUUUCUGCAGAUCUGCUUCUGUGGGCAGCAGACACAGCUGGACAUUUUGUUUCAGCUCAGUAUUCCUAUUUCUGUGCCAGAGCAUGUCUAAAGCACCAUUUUACAUUGAAUUUUUCAGGUUUUCUACAGUGUUUCUACAAAUGAAUGCACAGCUCAGGAGGGCCCUGAAGAAUCGUAAAGAACAUUUAUAUCUGGAAUGGCCUUCCCACCAAGAAGCUGCUUUAUGGUCCCCAAAAGCCACCUAAGAACCUGUGUGCUUCCAGGACUGAGCUGCUGAUCCACAUGGCAGUUAGUGUCUCUUGGAGGUGAGGAGUGAUGUGUACCCCCACAUUUUAGCCAUGCUUCCCUGCUUUCUCUGGAUCUGGCUCAGCAGCAAUAGAGACUUGCCUUGGACAUGUUGAACAGGCACGUGGUGGGGCUCUGUGAGCUGAGCCAAGCCAAGCAGUGUGGUGCUUUUAAGUGAAGGAAGAAGCUGAUCAGGAAUAUGCAGAGGGCAACAGCAAAAUAAAGAGGGAGUUCUAAACAAAAUAGGAUGAUAAAACUGAGAUCAAAAGGAAGGAGAACUACAGACACAAAGAGAAACUGGACACAGAUGGCCACAUCGGCACUAGGCACAUCCCUGGGCUUUGCCAAGGCAUCAGAAUGAAGAUCCAAUUAAAAUGAAAGGCAGAAGACUGGAGCCUUCAGCAGAACCCUGCUCCCUCCCUGUGAGAUCACUCAACACACGCCUGAUGCUGUCACUGACCCGGCAUUGUCCCGGCAAAGUCGCUCUCCAGGGCACCCUGCAGAGGAGCAGUGAUUUGUAACACGCUGGGGGGUGAAAGGAAAAUGAUGGGGCAGGGAAAUAUUGGGCCUCACAGUGGGAAGCAUGAGUAACAGCCAGACAACCCAAAGCAUCCGACCUCAAAGAGCUGUGCACAGGGGACACUGGGCCUGCAGUUUUUGCUAGGCUUACAGAAAGGAAUGUAAGCUUAAUUUGCGGCACUGGGAAGCCACUGGGGAUUCAGGGAAAUUAGUAAAAGGAGGUGUUGCUACGCUACUUUAUAGGAACUUGACAUGAUGUUCAAAUGCUGUCUGUUGGGAGCCUGGAUUACUUUAUUAUUAUUUUUAAUAACUCCAGAGGGCUUUCUUUUGCAAAGGAACUCAAGCUGAGAUGGUGGGUUUGUAUGUUCACUAUUCAUUUGGAGGGAGAAUUGUUUGAUGGAUGCUGGAGUUUAUGUUUCUUUUGCAAUGAGAAUUAUUGGAAUGUUUUGUGGCCCAGAUCUGUGUUCUCAUUUUCACCACACAGUUAUGUAAGACUCUGAAAUAAUAAAAUAAUGCUGGCUUUUUAAAGGAAAGAAAUGGCUGCAUGUGCUCCCAGUGUGAUGACCUGCGUGCAGGUUCCAGUGAACAGCACAAGUCUGAUCUGCAGGGUCCAGUUUGAUGGGUCCCUGACAUCCAUCAAGAGUCUUUGUUCUACCACUGGCAAAUGAGAAGGAAUCUGUGUUUCAGGAGCACAAAAGAUACUGGAAUUGUGUAUGUGCUAUAGAAUGCACAGAUGUGAG
rnacentral:lncRNA from 1 species